GAUGAAGAACGUAGCGAAAUGCGAUAAGUAAUGUGAAUUGCAGAAUUCAGUGAAUCAUCGAAUCUUUGAACGCACCUUGCGCCCUUUGGCCAUUCCGAAGGGCAUGCCUGUUUGAGCAUCAUGAACACCUCAACUCUUCAUGGUUUUCCGUGAUGAGCUUGGACUUUGGGGGUCUUGCUGGCCUAUGGUCAGCUCCUCUAAAAUAAAUCAGCUUGCCAGUGUUUGGUGGGUAUCACAGGUGUGAUAACUAUCUACGCUUGUGGUUUUCCACCAGGUAACCUUCAGCAGUGGAGGUUCGCUGGAGCUCACAGAUGUGUCUCUCCUCAGUGAGGACAGCUCUUUGAAUGUUUGAUCUCAAAUCAGGUAGGACUACCCGCUGAACUUAAGCGUAUCAAUAAGCGGAGGA
rnacentral:misc_RNA from 1 species